rnacentral:lncRNA from 1 species
UCUUGUAUAUUGUGGAUCCUCUCUCUUUUUCUUUUGGGUAUUUCGUUGAUCUCAGGCUUUUUCAUGUAGAUUUUGGAUCCUUUUGUAUAUAGGUUUGAUCUCUCCUUUUUGAUCUACAAUUUCUUUCACCAUUUGAAAUAUUUUAUAGCAAUAAGAAACAAGAGAAAAUAAUUUAGGCAGAUAAAGAGCCGUUAGAGCAAUUUUAGGAAGCAUAAAAGGCAAUUAAAAUGGGCAAAAAAAUAGCCGUUGCUGACAUUUUCCGCCGCAGGGGUCGACUCAUGAGUCGACUCAUGCUUCAGGAGUCGACUCGUGAGUCGACUUCUGUUGCAA